ensembl:ncRNA Y60A3A.29 ncRNA
GAUUUCUGAGCUAAAAAUUGG